AUGGCAUCGCGGGUGGCCCAGAGCCCCGACCCGCCUGAAAUCAAGAUCCUGCCCAACAGUCAAACCAAACUCCUGAACGAAAAAACACCACUCAAGGGGCCAGCAAGAGCCAGGAAUCUAGGCCAGACGAGGAGCUUCACAGCCAGAGAGGAGCGUUUUGACCUUCUACCUGACCUUCCUGCAGAACUCACAAGGAUUUUAUUGUGACAGCUAAUUUGUUUUUGUCAUCUUAAGUGAAUCUUUUAAUCCUGGAAUGCAGCGAUUGAGCCAGAUGGAGGACUGUUGAGGAAAAACAAAAGACUUCUUCUUUCUGGUCAAACGGGAUAUGUUCACACUGUUCUGCUUAUUCAGCCACUCCCUCUGAUGUCACUUCCUCUGUGCUCUGUUUGAGCUCACUUGUUUCCUCAAGAUGUGUGCGUGUGCACGUGCUACUAAAUUAAAUGGUGUGCCAAGAUUUUACAAUCUCUGUCGUAUCAUAAAAGCAGUAUUCCAGCCCUGAAUUGUCAAGCCCUAAUGUGCCAAAAUGGGUUCAAAUAGCCAUUUACUCACCCUCAUGUCAUUCCAAACACGUAAUCUUGUUUUUUCCAUUUAAUAGUCAUUGCAGCUGUCAGCCUCUCUGUGUGAAGGACAAAAAAGCAGAAACAAAGAAACAAAUCUGAUCACAAAUAUGAUUUUAGACCUUUGGGGAAGUGCACGCUUAAAAAUAAAGGUUUUGUAUAGUGGUUCCACAGAUGCCAAUAAAGAAAAUAAAGGUUCUUUAUUGUUAACAUCCAUAGAAUCUUUCCAUUCCACAAAAGGUUCUUUCGAAUUCUUUAAAAUGUUCUUCGCACACUCUUAAAAAUAAAGUUUCCAAAAAGGAAUCAUUCUGGGUUCCUUAAAGAACCUUUCAGCGAACGGUUCUAAAAGGAACCAUUGAACAAAAAAAUGUCAAACCUUUCCCAUACUGGAAUAACCUGACCAUUCCAUUGGUUUAACAUGAAAGUAAAUCUUAGCAAUACUGAAAACCCCCAUGUUUUGGAGGUUGUAUCUAAUUUUGAAAUGUAGAAACCUUGUGUAGAUGGGUAAUUAACCUAAAACCUCCGUUGUAAUGAAUCUGCUAUCCGUUCCAUCGGCUUGUCCUAGAAGAUGCUUGGUUGAACAUUCUUAGUAGCUUAUUAUUAUUGUAUAGUUUAUUAUAUAGUUUUUACAACAUUCCAGCCUACACUCAAUCAAAUGUUUGGAAUAAUUAAGUUUGUGUUGUUGUUUUUAAACAAGUUUCUUAUGCUCACCAAGGAUGUUUAUUUGUUCAAAAAUACAGUAAAAAAUGGUGAAAUAUGUUAAAAGAACUGUUUGAAUAUAUUUUAAAUUGUAAUUUAUUCCUGUGAUGCGCAGCUGAAUUUUUAGCAUCAUUACUCCAGUCUUCAGUGUCACAUGAUCCUUCAGAAAUCAUUCUAAUAUGCUGAUAUGCUGCUACAAAAAACUAUUUCUUAUCAAUGUUGAAAACUAGUUGUGCUGCUUCAUUAUUUUUGUAGUAAACCAUGAUUACUAAUUUUCCAUUUAUUUACUGAUAGAAUAGAAAGCUACUUCUAAUAUGCUGAUAUGCUGCUCAAAAACAUUUCUUAUCAAUGUUGAAAACAGUUGUGCUGCUUCAUAUUUUUGUGUAAACCAUGAUACAAUUUUCCAUUAUUUACUGAUGAAUAGAAAGCUCAAAAUAACAGCAUUUAUUUGAAAUAGAAAUCUUAAAUGUAUUUACUGUCACUUUUGAUUAAUUUAGUGCAUUCUUUAUGAAUAAAAAUAUAAAUUUCUUACAUAAAACAAAACUAAAAAUCAUGCCCCCAAACUUUUGAAUGGUAUAGUGUGUGAUUCGGGUUUUAAUGUGCAAAGGAAGAGUAUGAUUUGAGUAACUUUCAGGAUGGACUUUAUGUACAAGAAAUUCAAGCCUUCAUUUGUUCUGGUUUAUUGAUGCAAAAUAGUCAUGUAACCAUUUUAAGCAGUUAUUUACAAGUGUGCUUAUUUAUGUUGCUGUCAUUAUAACUCAUCCGUUGAAAACUGACCGCACCGAUCAGUGUGUGAUCCAAGUAAAUAUUUUUCUGCAGUUUGAAAUGUUGUACUGUUUGUUCUGUUGUCAAAGUCAAUUUAUAUGGUCAAAAAAUAACAAAUGUAUAAUAUAUAUAAUUUCUUGUCUUACUCUAUCAAAAGAAAUGCUGGGAUUUUUGCAUAUUGAGAUGACUGUAAGUUUAUAAGAAACUUCUGAAUCAUGGAGGUUGUAAAGAAGGAACAGUUGCUGGCAGAUGUCGGUUUUUCAGGUACAAACGUAGAUAUUACCAGGGAUUCAAACACUUUUACUUCUGAUCAGCCAUUUUUGGUAGUUAAGAUUCAAAUCUUUUCUG
rnacentral:lncRNA from 1 species